UCUCAGACACAGUCUCAUUCUAAGAUUCCUGGAGGCAGGAUCACCAUUUCGGAGGUCGAGUAAAUGAAGCAAGCACUUCGAAUGAUCAGAGAUUAAAUGUCUGUAACACGUUAGGACCAGAAUACUCAGUGUUAAUCAGAGCUGUUACGUAAGCGGUUCAGGAAUUCUUCUGCACACAGACAGCCCAUCAGCAAUGAAAUGGACAUGACAGGUCUAGCCCAGUCAUCUGUCAUCCAAGAAGCAUUCCAAGAGGGCUGUGCAUCCUACACGCCACGACGUGAAAAAAAAAAUUGGUCAGACCAGACAGCAACAGCUCUCUGAAGCACUGCGGGCUCGAAUGGAUGGUAUUACCCUGAACUGUGAGAAUGAACUCAUAAGCGGAAUUUCAACUCUUAGAUAACACCUGCUUUCUCCAGACUAUCUGAACUCCUGGAGCUGGGGAGAGGGACACAGAUGGCUAAAUUCCAGCCCUGAAGACAACGAGACUCCAAGACAAGGGUAUGAGUGUGACCCUAAACGCCAGGGUGUGUCUACUCAUCAGUCACCACAGAACCCUGCUGCACCUGCAGGCAAAGCAGACAGUCUGCCUAGGGGACCAGCCCUGAUGUCUGGGUCUACCUUCUGAGUGCCGCAAUAUACUGUGUGCCAAGGUCUCCCUGGUUUCCCCCAUGCACAGUGUGGAUAGAAAACUCUCAAGGUCUUCUGAAGUGAUCUUAAUUUUCUGGAGCCCUUUGCUUUGCCUUUCUGACUACCAAACUGAUGAAGAAUUAUAUCAAAAUUGAUCACCACCAUUCCGUAAGUAAGUAAUUCCGUUCUGUUUUUUGUUUGUUUGUUUGGUUGGUUUUGUUUUUCGAGACAGAGUUUCUCUCUGUGUAGUUUUGGAGUCUGUUCUGGAACCAGCUCUGGUAGACCAGGCUGGCCUCGAACUCACAGAGAUCUGCCUGCCUCUGCCUGUGCCUCUGCUUCCCCAGUGCUGGAAUUAAAGGCAUGCACCACCACCACCUGACUCCUUCCCGUUUCUUGAGUCAGCGCCUCGGGAGAUGCAGCUGCGGUUCAUCUUGACCGGAUCUAGAGGUAAGGGCAUUUCCAGAAAGGUUACACUGAGGAGGGGGAACUCUGCUUGAAUGUGGCAGAACAUCCCAUGGUCGGGGUCGGAGACUGAAUAACAAGAAGAAAGCGAGCUGAGCACCGUCAUUCACCUCUGUUUCCAGACUUAAGCUGCAUUGUGGCCUGCUGCCUCUGGCUCCUUCUGCCAUGCCUCACCCGCCGUGAUGGACCACAUACUCAAAAUGUGAGUCAAAACAAACCCUCCUUUCUUGAGUUGCUUUGUCAGGUACUUUAUCUCAGCAGCGGGAAAAGUAACGCACACGGUGGUGGCCAAGGCUGGCAUCAAUCCCACAAUCCCCCUUCUGGUAGGAUCUGCCUCCUGAGUGUGGGGAUUCGAGGCAUGUGUCCCAGCACCCGGAUCUACAAUGGAUCUACUACAAAAGUAUGGUUUGGUCCAGGAGGCUCUUCAUCUUUCCUUCAUGUGCACGCCCAGCCUCACCAGUUCAUCUUGCAGCAAAUGUGCUGCGUGUGCCCAUUCUAAUAGCCGCCCCGAUAGGACUGCGAUCGAGCUAGAGUGGCAGGACCGCUCCAUCUAUGCAGAGUCCACUGGGGCUGUGACCUUGUUCCGUUAACAGCAUCCUGAGAGACAAGGUGGUCCCUGUCACACACCCAGCUCUGUAGGGGUCUGCUUCACUGUGUAGGACACUGAUGAAACAAUCUCACUCUGAUUGGUGGGGACUCUGAGAUUCCUACAGCCUGUAAGGGG